GUACAAUUGCAGGCGGAAGUAAACCGUUCUGACGCACACAUAACGAGCAGUCACCCUGCGUGAGUGUGACCGCAUCAGGAUUCACUCCAAACUUCACAGCCGCACGUUGUCGAGCCUCUGCAGCACUCCUGCCCCAGACCCACUGCUCCUGUUCGAGACACAGUAAAAAAAGUUUUGCAGUGUCACUCGAUAGGCUGGAAUCUGAUGACCCCACCAAAGCUGUCUGGAAAUACACCAAUCACUGCAAGAAACAAGCUUCUAUACAUAUAAACAGAAAAUAAGGACAGCAAAAAAGGAGAGACACAGACUCACUCAUUUUUCCAUCUCCAGACCUGUUUGAGGAACUCCUCUCUGCUGUAGUCCUGUCUGCACUUCCCC